rnacentral:rRNA from 1 species
AACGAACGCUGGCGGCAGGCUUAACACAUGCAAGUCGAACGCAUCGCAAGAUGAGUGGCAGACGGGUGAGUAACGCGUGGGAACCUACCCUUUUCUACGGAAUAGCUCUGGGAAACUGGAAUUAAUACCGUAUACGCCCUACGGGGGAAAGAUUUAUCGGGGAAGGAUUGGCCCGCGUUGGAUUAGCUAGUUGGUGGGGUAAAGGCCUACCAAGGCGACGAUCCAUAGCCGGUCUGAGAGGAUGAUCAGCCACAUUGGGACUGAGACACGGCCCAAACUCCUACGGGAGGCAGCAGUGGGGAAUAUGGGACAAUGGGCGCAAGCCUGAUCCAGCCAUGCCGCGUGAGUGAUGAAGGCCUUAGGGUUGUAAAGCUCUUUCACCGAUGAAGAUAAUGACGGUAGUCGGAGAAGAAGCCCCGGCUAACUUCGUGCCAGCAGCCGCCGUAA